rnacentral:pre_miRNA from 1 species
UCUAGAACUCAAGAUAUGAGCUGAAAACCGAACAGUGUUUGAGCUGCAGGACAGGUUCUGACUUCUCCGUUGUUGCUAAGAUUUGAACUUGAAAAUGGCAGAAUUGAGUCUUGAACUCCAUGAAAGUUUUAGGUCUAUGUCUUACCUUUCCAUC